rnacentral:rRNA from 1 species
UACGUAGGUGGCAAGCGUUAUCCGGAUUUAUUGGGCGUAAAGGGAACGCAGGCGGUCUUUUAAGUCUGAUGUGAAAGCCUUCGGCUUAACCGGGGUAGUGCAUUGGAAACUGGGAGACUUGAGUGCAGAAGAGGAGAGUGGAACUCCAUGUGUAGCGGUGAAAUGCGUAGAUAUAUGGAAGAACACCAGUGGCGAAAGCGGCUCUUUGGUCUGUAACUGACGCUGAGGUUCGAAAGCGUGGGUAGCAAACAGG